ACAUGGCAAAACCCCGUGUCUACUAAAAAUAUAAAAAUUAGCCAGGUGUGGUGGCAGAUGCCUCUAAUCCCAGCUACUUGGGAGGCUGAGGCAGGAGAAUGGCUUGAACCCGGGAGGCAGAGGUUGCAGUGAGCUGAGAUCACACCAUUGCACUCCAGCCUGGGCGACAGGACGAGACUCCAUCUCAAAAAAACCAAAAAGGACUCUCAAAAAAUUUACUCCUAAUAAUUGAGUAAUUCCAGCAUGUGGAUAGCAUCUUGGAUGUCACUUUUCAGCACAUUGCAUCAGGUAACCAGAAAGAAGUGGAGAGACUUCUGAGCCAAGAGGACCAUGAUAAAGAUACCGUCCAAAAGAUGUGUCACCCUCUCUGCUUCUGCGAUGACUGUGAGAAACUCGUCUCUGGGAGGUUGAAUGAUCCCUCAGUUGUCACUCCAUUCUCCAGAGACGACAGGGGGCACACCCCUCUCCAUGUGGCUGCUGUCUGUGGUAUGUGGUCCUGGGCUGGCCCCUAGGGGCUGUCACAGCAAAGGGAUGGUGCCCAAGGUGACCCAGCAGAGAGGCCUGGCUGAUGGGCUGGGUGGGGGUUGGCAGUUGGGGCUGCAUCGUGGGUCCACCCUCCAAGGGCCGGAAGGAGAAGAGGAGCAAACGUUCCACAGGCCUCGACGGCCACCCUGCUGCCUCCUGCGCUGGCUGAGCCCCCCUGCGUGGGUCCCACGGCAUGGAAACACUGCCUAACGCUCCCGCAGGCUGGGGGCCCAGCAAGGGAAGGCUUGAAUCUGAACUAUGAGAACGGUCUCAGAAUCGUCAGCUCGCAGUUCUUGUGGCCCUGCCUUUAAAAAAAUAUUAUUAUUGUCUUUUAAAGUAUACAUUUGGCUGGGCAUGGUGGCUCAUGCCUGUAAUCCCAGCACUUUGGGAGGCCGAGGCAGGCAAAUCACUUGAGGUCAGACAUUUGAGACCAACCUGGCCGACAUGGAGAAACUCUGUCUCUACAAAACAUACAAAAAUGAGCCUGUUGUGGUGGUCACGCCUAUAAUCCCAGCUUCUUGGGAGGCUGAGUCAGAAGAAUUGCUUGAACCUAGAAGGUGGAGGUUGUAGUGAGCUGAGAUAGCACCACCGCACUCCAGCCUGGGUGGCUGAGUGAGACUCUGUCUC
rnacentral:lncRNA from 10 species